AUAAUACUGUUUUCAAGCAGUAUUGUGUUCCUGUUGGUGAGUAAGGUGACCAGAGCUCCUGGGGGGAUUGGGGAUCUGGUCGGCAACGCGCUUGCGAUGCUUCUUGUGUUGCAGGUGUCUAUAAGCUACGGUAAUCGCUUACCAUCAGGUGAGCUGUACGCUUGUUUGCCGACCUAGUGACAUAAAAAAAUGAGACGAGC
rnacentral:misc_RNA from 1 species